AGGAAGGGUGGGAGAGUUAGAAGCAGAGGUGGGAAAACUGCAAGCAGAAGCAAAAAAGUAUAAAGAAGCAGACUUGCAGGGAAAGAAAUCUUGUCCCUCAGCACCUUUGGACCCUACAUGUGUAACAUGGGGAUAUCAGUCUAGUUUCAUGGCUCCGAUGGCCAAACGCACAUGAAAGGCUUAGAAGUGAUCCUGCAGCACUUGGCAGACAGUGGGGAAAGAAAUCUUCGGCAGUCCAGGUGGCAAGAUGGACUCGAUGGGAAACGAGCUUGCUAAUGCCUUCAGUACAUCUGCAACGAGCGUCAUCGCUAAACCCUGCCACCCUCACGCCUAGCCCAGAUGAGGGACACCCGCAUCAGUGUUGCCUUAAGGAAGAGCCCAUGGACCUUCCAUUGGUAAAAGAAACUGC